UUUAAUUUACCACUGCUUUGACCACGCAAUUGUUAGCUAAAUAUAAACAUGGGUCGCUUAGAGAUUUACAAAAAAGCUGUACUAACCGGUAAAAGUAAUUUUCGUAGCAGCAGCUAGUCGCCUUACUAAUCGUUACCUCCCACUUAUUUUCAUCUAUUUACUAUUUUGCAUAAAAAGAGAGAUCGGUAUCAUUUGAAACUAAGCAUCCAAUCAGAAUCCCCCGGUCCAACUCUGUGUUCCGGUGUCUUGUAUUUCCUAAGUCCCGUAUUUCUUUAGAUUGAAGCUUUUCCAGCACUGGAAUGAAAAUGAUGCAAAACUUAAUUAAAGCAGAUGUUCACUGAACAGCUGUUGCCAUCCCACCAGCAGGGGGCAGGACUGCCCCUCAUCAUAUCAAGCAAUGCAGUCUGGUCUUAGGAUCUAAACUGGUCAAAGACCAUGGUAUGGCUGCUUAAGAAAGCUCACCAAAGCCUACUCUUUAUGUGGAGGCUGAAGAAAUUUGGCAUGUUGCUGACAGUCCUAAGCAGCUUCUACAGGUGCACAGUGGAGAGCAUAUUAAUCUGCUGCAUAGCUGUGUGCUUUGGCAGCUGCGCUGGACAGGACAGACAGGCACUGCAGUGGGUGAUCAUGUUAGCUCAGAAAAUCACAGGGUUAGGUCUCCCUUCACUGCAGGACAUCUGUGACAGGAGAAUCUGCAGAUGGGCCAGCAGCAUUGUCAGCAGUCUCACCCACCUCACCCAACAAAUCGUCACUCUCAUGAAACCUGUACAGGAGUGUUAAUACCACAACACCCAGACUCCAGAACAGUCUGUACCCCCAGGCCAACAGAAGGAUCAAGAACUGCCACCCUCUGCCAGCUGUGCCCCCACCCCAGGCACUAUGGCAAUGAUCACCCAGCUUGCAGCACUCUGCACCUUACAUGCAUUUGUUGGAGUUUGUGUUAAGCAAAUAAAUGCCUUUUUCUUAAACCAA